rnacentral:lncRNA from 1 species
AUAUAUGACAAAUUAUGAAUAUGUAGUCAAGAUGGGGUUAAAUAUAAAAUGAUCUUGGGAUAUCAUCUUGUUUCUAAUUGUCGCUUGACCCACCUCUAUUUGAUAUUUGUGACAAGUAUUUAAUUUGUAGUAUGAAAAAUACUGAAUAUCUAGCAUCAAAAAUGGUUUAAUAGCAGAUCGUGUUCUCAUUUACUAUUAGAUCGGUUAUCAUUUGACAU